GGGCCCGCACAAGCGGUGGAGCAUGUGGUUUAAUUCGAUGCAACGCGAAAAACCUUACCUACUCUUGACAUCCUUGGAAUGCCUUAGAAAUAAGGCAGUGCCUUCGGGAACCAAGUGACAGGUGCUGCAUGGCUGUCGUCAGCUCGUGUCGUGAGAUGUUGGGUUAAGUCCCGUAACGAGCGCAACCCCUAUCAUUAGUUGCCAGCGGGUAAUGCCGGGAACUCUAAUGAGACUGCCAGCGCAAGCUGCGAGGAAGGUGGGGAUGACGUCAAAUCAUCACGGCCCUUACGUCCUGGGCUACACACGUGCUACAAUGGUUGGGACAAUGGGCAGCCACUACGCGAGUAGGAGCUAAUCCUCAAACCCAAUCUCAGUUCGGAUCGGAGUCUGCAACUCGACUUCGUGAAGUCGGAAUC
rnacentral:rRNA from 1 species